AGUGAACGCUGGCGGUAGGCCUAACACAUGCAAGUCGAACGGCAGCACAGUAAGAGCUUGCUCUUACGGGUGGCGAGUGGCGGACGGGUGAGGAAUACAUCGGAAUCUACUUUUUCGUGGGGGAUAACGUAGGGAAACUUACGCUAAUACCGCAUACGACCUACGGGUGAAAGCAGGGGAUCUUCGGACCUUGCGCGAUUGAAUGAGCCGAUGUCGGAUUAGCUAGUUGGCGGGGUAAAGGCCCACCAAGGCGACGAUCCGUAGCUGGUCUGAGAGGAUGAUCAGCCACACUGGAACUGAGACACGGUCCAGACUCCUACGGGAGGCAGCAGUGGGGAAUAUGGGACAAUGGGCGCAAGCCUGAUCCAGCCAUACCGCGUGGGUGAAGAAGGCCUGCGGGUUGUAAAGCCCUUUUGUUGGGAAAGAAAAGCAGCAGGUUAAUACCCCGCUGUUCUGACGGUACCCAAAGAAUAAGCACCGGCUAACUUCGU
rnacentral:rRNA from 1 species